GAUAAUAACAUCUAUGGCUAUUAAUUAAGCUGAAAUCCUUGAACAUGACUCCUUCCAACUUGUUAUCUUCCAGACACGAGAUGACUUUGUUCUUUGGGUGACUACUGCUAGACAGACGCAUCCUGUUGUGAUAAAGGAGACCAGCUGGAUUUAGGACUGCGGCGUCGUGUUUGUGGGCUCGCAGCACCAGCCGGCAUGGGAGAGUGCAGUGCUUGCUCUGCCACUUACUCAGCUGCUGAGGAAAUUGGACACUAGUGGAAAUGGAUGAGGAUGGAGCACAGAGGACGCAGGGCCCUGCCAGGUGCCGUGCAGCAGCUGGUGUUGUGAAUCAGGCCGUCACCAGUCGGAGAACGGCUACUUCACAACACCAGGGUGGCACUGCACCACACUUCUACACCAGCCAGAGGAGCAGUGAGGGUCCCAGCAUGGGUUCAGCCAGGGGAGCCCAGGCCUGCUAAGGUAAUCAGGCGCUCUACUCCUGUUUAGGUAACCAGCCUCCCAUGGAAGUCUGGAAUAGAAGUUAGGCCCCCUAAACAUCUCUGUGGGUCCAGACCUUAGGCUCCUGUGCGCUGUGUGAAUGGGGAAGAGGUAUGGAAGGCAGUGCAGUGAGCAGUCUCUGUAUGCCAGGCACAUCUCCCAGCAGAGACGGCUGUGGUCCCUGCCCUGCUGGAACACCUCAAUGCAUUCUUUCUAUAAAGGAUGCUGUGGCCACAUUCCUUGGAAAUGACACUAAAGCUGCCUGGUUCUGAUCUGUGGAAGCAGCUUCCUGCUCUGGGAUGCAGGACAGUGGGGGCUUCUCAUUGGUGGGGCUUUCCCUUUCCUCCCACCCCAAGUAAGACUGGCUAUGUGUUGGCCACCUGCUCUCCCGUCUGUCAUGAAUAUUUGCAUGGGUGUAAAGCUAACAGAGGAGAAAGCAAACAAGGUAGCAUAGAAGUGAUUAAGGAUUUUAUAAAAGUUUUCUUUUCUUGUUAUCAUAACUCAACUCAAGCCAGUAGUAUAAACUACCUCAGUCUCAUCCUGGAUAUGUGAUGCUGGCAGGAAGAUAGAUGCAAGGGAGAGUCAGAAUACACAUAAGAUCAGAAAUAGCACAGGACAGUCUGGAAAUGCACGUGCACAGAGGCACAUGGGUGGCUGCAUCACAUAUCCUCAUCUUCCCCUUCAGGAGAGCUUCAUACAGAAGCAACCCCAAGUUCUAUCCAUAGUGAAAAUCCCUUAGCCAAUACCAUGAAGAGCAUAUGGGGGCUGUACGGGGUGCUUCUCAUGCAUUAGAAGAGGGCAGCCUAAUCUUGCUAGUUAGCCAUAGUGUUUUUACAUUGAUUAGAGAGAAAUGAGAGAGAAUGUUUGGAGUUCAGGCACCAUGGCAGGAAUGAAUAUGACGAUAUCAACGUGACGUGUAAGAAAUUUGUUUUAUUAAACUUGUCUUCUGCUAACAAAAUGUCCUCUGUGUCU